rnacentral:rRNA from 1 species
ACGCGUAUGCAACCUACCCAUAACAGGGGGAUAACACUGAGAAAUUGGUACUAAUACCCCAUAACAUCAGGACCGGCAUCGGUUCUGGUUGAAAACUCCGGUGGUUAUGGAUGGGCAUGCGUUGUAUUAGCUGGUUGGCGAGGUAACGGCUCACCAAGGCAACGAUACAUAGGGGGACUGAGAGGUUAACCCCCCACAUUGGUACUGAGACACGGACCAAACUCCUACGGGAGGCAGCAGUGAGGAAUAUUGGUCAAUGGACGCAAGUCUGAACCAGCCAUGCCGCGUGCAGGAAGACGGCUCUAUGAGUUGUAAACUGCUUUUGUACGAGGGUAAACGCUCUUACGUGUAAGAGCCUGAAAGUAUCGUACGAAUAAGGAUCGGCUAACUCCGUGCCAGCAGCCGCGGUAAUACGGAGGAUCCAAGCGUUAUCCGGAUUUAUUGGGUUUAAAGGGUGCGUAGGCGGUUUGAUAAGUUAGAGGUGAAAUACCGGUGCUUAACACCGGAACUGCCUCUAAUACUGUUGAACUAGAGAGUAGUUGCGGUAGGCGGAAUGUAUGGUGUAGCGGUGAAAUGCUUAGAGAUCAUACAGAACACCGAUUGCGAAGGCAGCUUACCAAACUAUAUCUGACGUUGAG